UCCCCGCUGUCUCAACCAUGAGCUCGGCGAAAUUGCAGUACGAGUAAAGAUGCUCGUUUCGCGCAGAAGGACGGAAAGACCCCGGGACCUUUACUACAGCUUGGUAUUGGCGCCCGCUAUAGCUUGUGCAGGAUAGGUGGGAGACUGUGAAGCCGUUACGCCAGUAGCGGUGGAGUCGUCCUUGAAAUACCACUCUGGUUAUGGCGUGCGCCUGAACCUGGGCCCGUGAUCCGGGUUAGGGACAGUGCCUGGUGGGUAGUUUAACUGGGGCGGUUGCCUCCUAAAGUGUAACGGAGGCGCUCAAAGGUUCCCUCAGCCUGGUCGGCAACCAGGUGUUGAGUGCAAGUGCACAAGGGAGCUUGACUGUGAGACCGACGGGUCGAGCAGGUACGAAAGUAGGAACUAGUGAUCCGGCGAUCCCGUGUGGGUGGGUCGUCGCUCAACGGAUAAAAGGUACCCCGGGGAUAACAGGCUGAUCCUGCCCAAGAGUCCAUAUCGACGGCAUGGUUUGGCACCUCGAUGUCGGCUCGUCGCAUCCUGGGGCUGGAGCAGGUCCCAAGGGUUGGGCUGUUCGCCCAUUAAAGCGGUACGCGAGCUGGGUUUAGAACGUCGUGAGACAGUUCGGUCCCUAUCCUCUGCGCGCGCAGGAGACUUGAGAAGGCCUGUCCCUAGUACGAGAGGACCGGGACGGACGAACCUCUGGUGUGCCAGUUGUCCCGCCCGGGGCACGGCUGGUUGGCUACGUUCGGGACGGGUAACCGCUGAAAGCAUCUAAGCGGGAAACCAUCUUCAAGAUAAGGUCUCCGCAGGACACCUCGGUGUCCUGGUAGGCCCCCAGCAGACUACUGGGUUGAUAGGCCAGAAGUGGAAGACCGGUAACGGCCUCGAGCUGACUGGUACUAAUCGGCCGACACAAACAACAA
rnacentral:rRNA from 1 species